AGCGAACGCUGGCGGCAGGCUUAACACAUGCAAGUCGAGCGGGCACUUCGGUGUCAGCGGUAGACGGGUGAGUAACACGUGGGAACGUACCCUUCGGUUCGGAAUAACGCUGGGAAACUAGCGCUAAUACCGGAUACGCCCUUUUGGGGAAAGGUUUACUGCCGAAGGAUCGGCCCGCGUCUGAUUAGCUAGUUGGUGGGGUAAUGGCCUACCAAGGCGACGAUCAGUAGCUGGUCUGAGAGGAUGAUCAGCCACACUGGGACUGAGACACGGCCCAGACUCCUACGGGAAGCAGCAGUGGGGAAUAUUGGACAAUGGGCGCAAGCCUGAUCCAGCCAUGCCGCGUGAGUGAUGAAGGCCUUAGGGUUGUAAAGCUCUUUUGUCCGGGACGAUAAUGACGGUACCGGAAGAAUAAGCCCCGGCUAACUUCGUG
rnacentral:rRNA from 1 species